CAACCUGAGAGUUUGAUCCUGGCUCAGAGCGAACGCUGGCGGCAGGCCUAACACAUGCAAGUCGAACGAACUCUUCGGAGUUAGUGGCGGACGGGUGAGUAACACGUGGGAACGUGCCUUUUGGUUCGGAAUAACUCAGGGAAACUUGUGCUAAUACCGAAUGUGCCCUUCGGGGGAAAGAUUUAUCGCCAUUAGAGCGGCCCGCGUCUGAUUAGCUAGUUGGUGGGGUAAUGGCCCACCAAGGCUACGAUCAGUAGCUGGUCUGAGAGGAUGACCAGCCACAUUGGGACUGAGACACGGCCCAAACUCCUACGGGAGGCAGCAGUGGGGAAUCUUGCGCAAUGGGCGAAAGCCUGACGCAGCCAUGCCGCGUGUAUGAUGAAGGUCUUAGGAUUGUAAAAUACUUUCACCGGUGAAGAUAAUGACUGUA
rnacentral:rRNA from 1 species